GUGUUUCUUUAGAUUUUCUAGACAUUUAUAUCACCUACAUUAGAUAUCAUUUUGCCUUUUCCGUUCCAAUUAUUAUAUUUCCAAUUGUUUAUUCAUUUCAGUAGCUAAUAUUUCCAACAUGAUAUUCAGUCAGAUGGGGACAACUGAUAUCUUUUUGUUCCUGAUUUGAGCAGGAAAUUUCCUUUCAUUUCUCCAUCAGCUCAGAACCUAGUGGCAGUAAUGGGGGGAGCGAUUGGCAUGCUUUGUCAGCGCUUGAGUAAAUAGCGAUCAGCUGGGAAAGACAUGCCUAACUGUAUUUCUGAAGGAUAGAAAGAAACCUAGAAUAAAUGUAAAGUUUUGAUCUUCAUAUUUGCAAAUAAUUAUUCUUCUGUAACACCAAGCUAAGAAGAGGUAAGAACAAUAAAUCACUUUAUAAGGAAAUCUUUAAA
rnacentral:lncRNA from 1 species